CAUUUGUGACUUUUGAGAAGAGGGAUGAAGCGAGACACGUAUACCAGGAGGAAUAUAUUUCACAAGAUAAUUUAGUCUAUUGUCAUCGCACCAAGUGUUUCGUGUGCAAAGAUGAUAAGUCAAACAGAGUAAGUGUAACUGAUGAAUUUGAAGACGAAUCUUUCUAUCAACGGAAGUGAUCUUUAAGCGGCUACGUUUUUCAACCGUUCGAUCAACGGUGGCCUCAACGUCUCCAAAAUCAUGAGUUGGUCGUUCUUGAAUCAACCUUUCACCAUGUACGGCGGAUGAAAGGAGCGAAGAAUUUAAAAUAGGUGCAGUUUUAAUAUCAUU